AACUCGACUGCACGAAGACUGGAAUCGCUAGUAAUCGCGGAUCAGCACGCCGCGGUGAAUACGUUCCCGGGCCUUGUACACACCGCCCGUCACACCAUGGAAGUCUGCAAUGCCCGAAGCCGGUGGCCUAACCACUUAUGUGGAAGGAGCCGUCUAAGGCAGGGCAGAUGACUGGGGUGAAGUCGUAACAAGGUACC
rnacentral:rRNA from 1 species